CUAAGGACCUCAACAGAGAUUGAGUUGUUUGGUUCUCUCUUUGGAAAAAUAUUACAGUGCCAGAAGGAACGAAAAUAUAUCAUUCUCUUGAGUCAAGGCAUCUCGUCAUUGGGACAGCAAACGUUCUCUGGAAUGGAAAGCUUGAAAGUCUUGUCACUCGGUAACAACACGAUUGAGCAUAUCCCGGCGGGAACUUUCGAUGGGCUACAGAAUCUUGAAUUUUUGUCACUUGGUAAAAACACGAUUGAGCAAAUCCCAGAGGGAGCCUUCGAUGGGCUACACAAUCUUGAAUUUUUG